rnacentral:rRNA from 1 species
CCCUUAGAUGUUCUGGGCCGCACGCGCGCUACACUGACGAAGUCAGCGAGCAUGUCCUACGCCGACAGGUGCGGGGAAUCUUGUCAAACUUCGUCGUGAUGGGGAUUGAUUAUUGAAAUUAUUGAUCAUCAACGAGGAAUUCCUAGUAAGCGCAAGUCAGCAGCUUGCGUUGAUUACGUCCCUGCCCUUUGUACACACCGCCCGUCGCUACUACCGAUUGAAUGGUUUAGUGAGAUCUUCGGAUUGGCGCCACUGCGGCUCAGCAAUGGGCUCGGUGGAUGCCGAAAAGUUGAUCAAACUUGAUCAUUUAGAGGAAGUAAAAGUCGUAACA